rfam:Ovis aries breed Texel chromosome 10, whole genome shotgun sequence.
UCCUUCAUAGUUCAGUUGGUAAAGAAUCUGCCUGCAAUGCAGGAGACCCAGGUUCAAUCCCUGGGUCAGGAA